ACAUAAUUUAAAGCAUUUUAAAAGUGAUGUGUUUGUCUUUUGAAAUGUUCUCUGACUAACCCUUUAUCUUAUAACUAUUGUUUGUGCUGUUGACUGUCUUUAUCUCAGUGUUUGCUUGCUUCAGUGUGUGUGUGUGUGUGUGUGUGUGUGUGUGUGUGUAUGUAGCAGAGUUUGCCAAGUUUUGCAAGGAAACUCCAGUAAAGCUUGUUGCUCUCCAUGAACUAUAUGGGGGAUUCUAUAGUUGUAGGUAGUUUAGCAGUGGCUAAAGCCGUCCUUUUUCAGCUUUAUAUAAAAUAGUUGCACUUUAGAUUAUUGAUCAAAUGUGUUGAUCAUCUUCAUAAUCACUGUAAAGAGUCGAGAUUAUUACCACACAUCACGACUUCUUAAUGUCUGAAUUAGUCAGUGUAGUUUUCAUCAUGUGGAAUCAAACAGAUUUUAUUUUGCUUUUCAUAUUAAAUGUUUUAAUUGUAAAUGAUUAAACUGUGAACACUAUGAUAAAAGGAGAGCUGAAUAUUUCAUUAAUCGCAUGCUGGUUUCAUUAGUGUCGUGUGAUCUUUGCACUUAUAGCAAGUAGAAUGUUUGGCUAAAAUGUUGUAAAACUGUAAAAUGUUACGGUCAAUACAGUUAGACUUUAGUAAUUAUCCAUGAUGAUUUUUCUUGCUAUGAUUUAUUGUUAUUUCUACACGUUACUAAAUUCAUCCAUAACAGAGUUCACAAACAAUAUAAAAAGCCUUAUUAUUCUCUAAAAGUAAAACAUUUCAGGAUUUAAGUUUGGCAAAAGCUGAAUUAUAAAAACUAAAUAUGCUUAUAAUAAGAGACUGGACAUAAUUGCUGUUUUAAAGAGUUUUAUUCUUUAACUUUUUGAAAUGUCAAAUAUACCUGCACUAUAAUCCCCCAUAUUGCUUUAAUGCAUAUAAUAAUGUUUACAGUAACUCUAGUGUUGUCACGAUGCUGCAAUCUCCUUCAAAACAUAUCAAUUCCACACCAUUUUCUAGAUUGUGUGAUUAAUAAAAAUCUUAUUAUUAUUAUUAUUAAUUAUUAUUUAAUGCUCCAGAGCGGAGAUGGACAUCAGUGUUUUUUAAUAACUAAUAUAAACUAAUGUUUGAAUAGCAGAUUUUUGCAGAUUAGCCUACGUGUUAGUGGUAGAUAGCUAAUACAUGAUCAUUUAUCAAAAACAUCUGUGAGUGUUUAUUUAGCAUAUCACAUGUUUUAAUUGACACACACAUGGUGUUUAGCCUGCUUUACCAUAGCUCUCUCUGUGUGUGUGUGUCGAUCUGAAUUCUCUAUAUUCUAGUCUGUAUUGAAUCCUGAAAUGUCAAUAUUGCAUUACACUACCGUAACAGUAACAGUUUAAGAUAUCUUGUGUAUGUUUUUGACGUUUUUCCCUCGUCAUUUGAAAAGUCCAAUAACAGAGGAGAUCACAAAUAAUCUGAGAGAUUUAAAGGGGGAAUAGGACAUUUCGUCAAUCAACAGCACGUUACACGACUGUCUUAUUUCAUUAAUGGAGUCAGUGAUAUUGAAAUGAGUUCAGUUAUUAAGCUCUCGAUAUUGUAAAUGCAGAUGUGGGACACGCCAACACAAUCUCACGGCAAUUUGUAAGAUUUUGAUUUAGCGGCUAAUUCGUAUGAUCUAAUUCAUACAAUUUAGUACGAUUUGCUCAUCCCCCAAUGACGGGUGGGGUUAGGGGUGGGGUUAGGUGCCACGCCUCCUUUUUAAAACCGUACGAAUUCAUACGAAUUAGCCACUAAACUGACAAAGCGAAAGCAAGAUUAUGUGUGGAUGUGUGUAUUGAUAUUUAUAUGUGUAUUGAUCACGUGCUGCACAUGUGUUUGAGUUUUGUCUGUCGCUCUUUACACGAACGGCACUACUGACACUGCCUGUGAUUUGUUCGUUUCUGUGUGUCAUUAACGUCAUUAACUUUGCUCUUUCCAUAGGAAAAAUGCCAUAUUGUUUAAGCGGGUCCAGUACAUCUCCCGAUUACUCCAGAUAUCAGGGGGCCGUUUCAGAAAGGAGGUGAAGUGAAAACUCAGAGUAUGUUAACCCUGAAAUGAGAGAAACUCUGGGUUUUCUGUUUCAGUAUGGCAGGUUUGUUUAAACUGGAGACAGCAGGGUUAGUCAAGCCUGUGUCUGAAAGAGAGGUGACUUUAACUCAGAGUCAGUUACUGUGGUGUUUUACUCUGUGAAGCUAACCUGGUCAGAGCAGGUUUAUUCUCUAAACUCAGAGUUUCUGUCCGUCUCCUGCCCUUUAUUAAAGAUGAAGCGCUAUUUCUGUUAGCCUAACGCUUCCACACACCUAUUUUAAUGCUCAUGUUGGAGAUGGAGAUAAAAGCGAUUGAUGGAAACGUCAUGAUGCACAGAACUCCUGAAAAUACACAUAAAAACACGAGCAUAACUGAGGAGGAGAAACUUUAUAUUCAAUAGAAAAGAUGCACAUAAACUGAGAUGGAAACACUGAAGUAAUUCCAGUCUGUGCAUUAAUAAAGGUUUGUUAUGAGAGAUCAUAUGAUGAUGAAGGUGUGAGCACACUGUAACACAUCUGACAUGUUGAUUUGCUCAUUCUAAAACACCAGAACCGUUUCAGUAUUAGUGUUAUAUUAUUAAUGACCUCCAGAGCGUCUGUAGUGUGUCAGGAGCGUCUGUUCUCCGAGUCUCAGGGCUUCAAACACCCCCACAUGUUCAGUGUCAGCAUUGUCCUCUGAGUCAUUUAUUAAAUAAAGAACAGACAGACGCAGCUUCUUCUACCGCAGUAAAUUCAGUUUUACUGUUGAUAUUUGGCUCCAGUUAAUCAGGAAGUGUUGAUGUUGUUGUCUUUGACUCGUUGGAUGGAAACGCUGCUUUAUUCACACGUCUUUUAUGCGAUACUCCAGUUUUGCACAUACAUGUAAUUAACCCUUGUACGGUGUUGGGGUCUGUGAGACCCGUUUUCAGUAGUUUUCUUUCAAACUAUAAAUUGAACAAUGAAUUAUUUUUUCAACCUGAAAUUCAUUGGCUUUGGCUUAUUUUCUGUGGAGAACAUGAAUCCAAACAAAUUUUCAAUGACCGCAUAAAUGUACCUCCCCCCCACACAUUUAGGCUACAUCCAAUGUGUUUGGUUCCACUGGACCCAGGUCUAAUAAAAGUGUUGAAAGUGUAGGUCCAGUGUUCUUACACUCUCUCUCCCUCCUUUCCCGUGCUGCUGUUUUCUUCCCCGCCCGUUCCCGCACAAAGUUGCAACAUUGUUGCCAAUUUAACGAGCAACACUGUCUGCUCCUACGUUCCCGCACAUUUUACCCGCUCUCUUGCGGGAACAGAGCUUAUUUUCUCGCACCCUGUCCCUUAGGGCAAUAAUACUACAAAUAACACAAUGCCAGGGCGGUUCCUUAUCACAACUGAUCAAGAUGGCCAAAAGAUUAUCUGCUGCGAGGGCCUUGCAAACUGAUUGUGGAAGAGAGAGGAGCUUCUGAUGAUGAGGUCCAUGACCAUGGUGGGAACAAAACAAACCUGUGGGUUUUAUUUUCUUCAUAACAUUAAUAAAAAUAAAAACAGGAGAAGCACAUUAAUCCAUCAAUAUGAUCUAACAAAGGUAAAGGGGGGAAAUUAACCAUGUUUGCUGUUCAUAUGGCUUGUAAUUGGGAUGAAGUAAACAUUUGAGUAAUUUAACUUAAAAUUGUUUAAUAGUGUUAAUUUGGAAAGCCAAAACUCUAGCGGGUCCACCAGACCCAUGAACACUGGCUGAGUAACAAAAAGACCAACACCACACAAGGGUUAAGACUUCUGGAUGGACACAGCUAUUGCCUACAUUUCAGUCACACAAACAACAAAGUCACAUAUGAGAAUGGCUUGUGCUUUUUUAAUAAUUAAUAAGCUGAAAUUCACUGAGCUUUAUCAGGGACAUACUGUAACGAGAUGAAUGGGAUUAUUAUUCGCUCUAAACACUAUUGUUUAGUUCUGCUUACAUUAUCAAUGUCAUCUCAACCUCUAUCACUGAUCAAUAAUAGAGGCAGACACACACACAAGUGCACUUUUACAUCUAUUCAAACGUAUGUAAAAGUGAGAACGUGUGUAAAAAAUCUAUAAAGUCACACAUAACAUGACUUAUUUUAUUAUACUUAAAUAUUGAAAUAUUUAAUGUAAACUUCCUCAUUACCAUGAGCAGCUGUUUCCCCACUCUAGCCGGCUCUGUUUCCCUGAUGCAGUGGUGUUGCUGUAUUCAAUACCUGCUCAUAUCUGCUGUAACUCUGCAUCAGCACAUCAGGUUCAGCUGGAGAAAGAAAACACUGAUCUUAUUAUUACAGAUGUCACCAUAGUCACUCGUAAUAUCUGCGCUCUAUUGAUAAUGCCUUUAUAUAGUCACGGUGUGCGCACUUAACUCAGAGUUAGUCUACUCAAAGUGGAUUGACCCAACUCAGAUCUGCUAUUCUGAAACCCAAAACUCAAGAGUUUUUAAUCUCUCUGUAAGUCAACUCAGUGUUCAAGUGUAAACUCUGAGUUGGUUGAACCUCCUUACUGAAACAGGCCCCAGAACUCUUUAAGAACAUGAGCUGUUUAUGAUCACGAGCUGUGCUAAAUAACCUCAAACACUGCAGUGGGUUUGGCAACACGUGUCAUCGCCGCCAUUUUAGACACGUCUGAAGUCCGUCGUCUGCAGAGCGGAAACUCUUCAAAUCUACUAUAAAGUAUAAUAUAAACGCGCUGGACGGACUGGAGGACACGUGUAGGGUUUAUCUGAGCCGGUAUGUAUGAUGUGUGUUGAUCUAACAGCAGCAGGACGAUGGCUGUAACCCUUCAUUAGUUUACCGAAGCUCGUGAUCUGAAUGUGGCAGCUGCUGAUCUGUUCCUGCUGAAUUCAGCUCAGUUAUGAAGGCUGAUCAAUAACUGGACAUCUGUGAUUGUUUCUCAGUGUCUGCUAGAGUUUCUGCUGGAGAUCACACUCUUCAGGUCCAUCAUGGGUAACAAACACUCUUCUGGAGAUGAGGAUUCAGUUACAGGAUUGAGCAGCUCAGUUCAUCAGACGAGAGCAGAAGCAGAGCCCAGCUGUGUGUCUCUGAAGAGUGACCAGUCUAUGAAUCCUCCAUUAAAAUUUAGUAUUGAACACACACGACCUGUCCUCAGCCCAGUGAUUUUGCGUGUGACGUCAUCCAGGUUCACGUACGUUCUCGUGCUUCAUUCGUUUUUUCAAGAUGGCGGAUCGGCCUCGCUUCACACUACAAAUUGAAGGUCGGUUGUUGCUGACUACAGAAAGAUUCUUUUAUGGAGGCAUGUAAAAGCAAGGAAAGUGAAACUUCAGCUAGACCUUGAGUUCAGUUUACAAUAUGAAGAUCCUGAUAUCAACAUCUGAUCUGAUCAACACCUGAUUUUCAUCUGAGCUGCAGAGUACCAACAUGUUACAAAUGAGAAUUUUCCCCACAAAUUCUUUGGACAACUGCACCACCACCUAUUUCAUUUGAUGACAAUUUUAAGGCAAACAGCAUCCAAAACUGACAAGACAGCAGAUACCCUGGCUAAUCUUUUGAAGGUUUAUGAUGAGCAGGAACUGCAUGAUGUCAGUUCAUGAUGGACUACUGUUAUCAGAGGUCUUUUGGUCUUGCUGCGUGAGCGUGACUGGGGAUUCUUUAGGACCACCCUGAUUAAUAAUCCUGAAGCGCUGACUGAAGAUGCUUUAUUGGCCCUGCAGUCACUGAGGGUCUCUGCUGUCCUGAAGAAUGAAUUGGACACCACCCACAGCACACUUCCAGACCUUUUUUUGUCUUGUUUGGAUUAAUGUAUGCUCUUCACAUAAUAUAUAGUAAAGGACUUUGAACUUGUACAAAAAGUUUUGCUUGGCAUGGAUGAUAGAAAAUAGAAAGUCGAUUAGCAUAGAAUCCUUAAAGAAUGAGUUGAUGUAGAGCCUUUUUUUGUACUCAAUAAAGACUGUCACUGGGGUAGUAACUUCAAAACAUGUAUGUACCUUUAAUUGGUAAUGGUGCAUUUUAUUAUUAUUAU